AGCGUUAUCCGGAAUUAUUGGGCGUAAAGCGCGCGCAGGCGGUCCUUUAAGUCUGAUGUGAAAGCCCACGGCUCAACCGUGGAGGGUCAUUGGAAACUGGGGGACUUGAGUGCAGAAGAGGAGAGCGGAAUUCCACGUGUAGCGGUGAAAUGCGUAGAGAUGUGGAGGAACACCAGUGGCGAAGGCGGCUCUCUGGUCUGUAACUGACGCUGAGGCGCGAAAGCGUGGGGAGCGAACAGGAUUAGAUACCCUGGUAGUCCACGCCGUAAACGAUGAGUGCUAAGUGUUAGAGGGUUUCCGCCCUUUAGUGCUGCAGCAAACGCAUUAAGCACUCCGCCUGGGGAGUACGGUCGCAAGACUGAAACUCAAAGGAAUUGACGGGGGCCCGCACAAGCGGGUGGAGCAUGUGGUUUAAUUCGAAGCAACGCGAAGAACCUUACCAGGUCUUGACAUCCCGUGACAACUCUAGAGAUAGGGCUUUCCCCUUCGGGGGACACGGUGACAGGUGGUGCAUGGUUGUCGUCAGCUCGUGUCGUGAGAUGUUGGGUUAAGUCCCGCAACGAGCGCAACCCUUGAUCUUAGUUGCCAGCAUUCAGUUGGGCACUCUAAGGUGACUGCCGGUGACAAACCGGAGGAAGGUGGGGAUGACGUCAAAUCAUCAUGCCCCUUAUGACCUGGGCUACACACGUGCUACAAUGGAUGGUACAAAGGGCAGCGAAACCGCGAGGUUAAGCCAAUCCAUAAAACCAU
rnacentral:rRNA from 1 species